ensembl:lncRNA
GAGAGGAGAGAGAGUGUGUGAGAGGAGAGAGAGUGUGAGAGGAGAGAGUGUGUGAGAGAGAGUGUGAGAGGAGAGAGAGUGUGAGAGGAGAGAGAGUGUGAGAGGAGAGAGAGUCAGUGUGAGAGGAGAGAGUGUGUGAGAGGAGAGAGUGUGUGAGAGGAGAGAGUGUGUGAGAGGAGAGAGUGUGUGAGAGGAGAGAGAGUGUGAGAGGAGAGAGAGUGUGAGAGGAGAGAGAGUGAGAGAGGAGAGAGUGUGAGAGGAGAGAGAGUGUGUGUGAGAGGAGAGAGUGUGUGAGAGGAGAGAGUGUGUGAGAGGAGAGAGUGUGUGAGAGGAGAGAGUGUGUGAGAGGAGAGAGUGUGUGAGAGGAGAGAGUGUGUGAGAGGAGAGAGAGUGUGAGAGGAGAGAGAGUGUGAGAGGAGAGAGUGUGUGAGAGGAGAGAGAGUGUGAGAGGAGAGAGUGUGAGAGGAGAGAGAGUGUGAGAGGAGAGAGUGUGAGAGGAGAGAGAGUCAGUGUGUGAGAGGAGAGAGAGUGUGAGAGGAGAGAGUGUGUGAGAGGAGAGAGAGAGUGUGAGAGGAGAGAGAGUGUGAGAGAGAGAGUGUGUGAGAGGAGAGAGUGUGUGAGAGGAGAGAGAGAGUGUGAGAGGAGAGAGAGUCAGUGUGUGAGAGGAGAGAGUGUGUGAGAGGAGAGAGAGUGAGAGAGGAGAGUGUGUGAGAGAGGAGAGAGAGUGUGAGAGA